rnacentral:lncRNA from 1 species
ACCAACCGAAACACAUUCGUAUGCAUAACUUAAUCUCAUGUGACAGGGGCAUUAGCCCUGGAUCAUUCGAUGAACUCGUCUUGACUGAAGUGUUGUUUAGUGACGGGUUAUCUAACAAAUGUAGCCAUGGCGUUUGGGACUGUGCACUUUUUCACCACCUCCCAAGUCUUCAUCCUGUGUUUCAGUCUAUUCUCUGCACAUGUUCAAGAUCAGAAUGCAUCAUGUGUCGAGGUCCAACUGAAACGGAAUUCGAAGGCUGACGCUUUUUUAGAAGAGAGUCUGAAGAUCAACUGCACUGUAAAGCACUGUGGUGAAAGGCCAGCAGUCGGAUGGUGCAAAAUUGCAGAUUUAGACGACUGCAUUCCAAUUAGUAAAGAUUAUCAAAUGGAAGUACUAUGGAGAAAGAACAAUGAAUCAUCCAGCAUCUUAUCACUGCAUUUCAAACACAUAGCCAUAAAUGAUUCUGGAUUGUACCGGUGUCAAUGUCAAUCUGAAUCUGAAAGCUGUAUCAGUCAUUCAAUCAAUGUCACAGUGAAAGGUAAACAGUGGCUUUCCUUUUCUACUGAUUUUAUAAUUACUAUACAAAAAAACAUUGUUUUAAAAUAACAUUUACAUAAACACACUUUUCCUAGCAAAAUCAGACAAUGUUUUGUUUAAAAACUUUUCAGAAGAAAUGUUGGACAUUAUGCCAACUGUAAACAAUGAGAACCAAACUGCAAGUAAGGGCAACAAUUUGAAUACUUUUAUUAAGAUACCUACACACAAAUUAUUUGCAGUAUAACAAGUCAUUGGAGCCAGCACAAUGUGACUUUGUGAAAACAAUACUGGAUAGCUGUGAAACCUUACCUUUCCCCUCAAAACACAUAGGCUUUCUAUUAUGAAUGCAUUAAAAAAGACAAUGUGCAUUGAUUAUUAAAAAAUAAAUUGAACAUGGUUAGCA